GACGAACGCUGGCGGCGUGCUUAACACAUGCAAGUCGAACGGAAAGGCCCUGCUUUUGUGGGGUGCUCGAGUGGCGAACGGGUGAGUAACACGUGAGUAACCUGCCCUUGACUUUGGGAUAACUUCAGGAAACUGGGGCUAAUACCGGAUAGGAGCUCCUGCUGCAUGGUGGGGGUUGGAAAGUUUCGGCGGUUGGGGAUGGACUCGCGGCUUAUCAGCUUGUUGGUGGGGUAGUGGCUUACCAAGGCUUUGACGGGUAGCCGGCCUGAGAGGGUGACCGGCGACAUUGGGACUGAGAUACGGACCAGACUCCUACGGGAGGCAGCAGUGGGGAAUCUUGCACAAUGGGCGGAAGUCUGAUGCAGAAACGCCGCGUGCGGGAUGACGGCCUUCGGGUUGUAAACCGCUUUCGCCUGUGACGAAGCGUGAGUGACGGUAAUGGGUAAAGAAGCACCGGCUAACUACGUG
rnacentral:rRNA from 1 species